GACGAACGCUGGCGGCGUGCCUAAUACAUGCCAGUAGAACGCUGAAGGGAGGAGCUUGCUCUUCUUGGAUGAGUUUCGAACGGGUGAGUAACGCGUAGGUAACCUGCCUUGUAGCGGGGGAUAACUAUUGGAAACGAUAGCUAAUACCGCAUAACAAUGGAUGACACAUGUCAUUUAUUUGAAAGGGGCAAUUGUUCCACUACAAGAUGGACCUGCGUUGUAUUAGCUAGUAGGUGAGGUAAUGGCUCACCUAGGCGACGAUACAUAGCCGACCUGAGAGGGUGAUCGGCCACACUGGGACUGGGACACGGCCCAGACUCCUACGGGAAGCAGCAGUAGGGGAACUUCGGCAAUGGGGGGAAAGCUGACCGAGCAACGCCGCGGGAGUGAAGAAGGUUUUCGGAUCGGAAAGCUCCGUUGUAAGUCAAGAACGGGAGUGAGAGUGGAAAGUUCACACUGUGACGGUAGCUUACCAGAAAGGGACGGCUAACUACGUG
rnacentral:rRNA from 1 species